AUAGUAGUAAUGGAUGGGCUUUGGUAAGCCGUGAGAAUGCCAGUAUCGAACAAAAACGUCCGCCGCGAUUACAAUUACCGUUCGUUCGUUCGACGCUCCAAUUUCCUACAUUUCUAGCGAUUGGCCUUACGUCAACUGGACAGCACUUUGCAAAAGAUUAACGCAAGGUUGCGCGAACGUGUCGUGACAGAAGCGAACGUUACGUCUUAAUUAAUGGUGAAAGCGAAGGGAUGGUAGCUUGGAAUACCGACAGAUGACAAUACCAAGUUCGCAUUCUCAACGAGAAAAUUGUACACUGUCCUCCAGCAACGAGCAAAUAUCCUGCGACGUCCUUAAAUCUCGUUGCUUGAUUUUACUUAGCGGAAUUUCCAGAUAUCUGCUAUCACGUUCGAUGAAACAACGAUGAAAUAAAAGCGAGAGAAAGAAGCGAGAAAUUGAAGAGACCAGGCAGACGUAUUAUUAUUUCGCAAAGAAUUAACGAACAACCGAAUGGCGUCGAAUUUUAGGGCAAAUCAAAUGUUUCAUUACGGUGAAAUUUUGAAUGGCACAAAGUCAAAACAGGUAUUCCCAAUUUCCCGUGAACGCAAAUACAAAUUCGUAGACUAAUGACGAGCAACGAGAAGAUACGUCGAAAGCGAUUUCUCCGUGGCAAGCAGAUACGUUUAAACGAGUCUACAUUUUUAUAUUUUAUAUUGUAUCGUAUUGUUAUAUUAGGCUUCCUAAUUCUGUCUAAUUUCGACUAUAUCGUGUGCUAUCAAAUUGUUUAAAGCUUUAAAAACAAAGUGACAGGCAGAUAAUUUAAACAAUUGUAUAUUUGAUAAGGAUCGUGCAAUUAUUUUAUAUUAUAUCAUAUUGUAAUAUUAGGCGUCCUAAUUCUGUCUAAUUUCAACUAUAUCGUGUGCUAUCAAAUUUUUUAAAGCUUUAAAAACAAAGUGACAGGCAGAUAAUUUAAACAAUUGUAUAUUUGAUAAGGAUCGUGCAAUUAUUUUAUAUUAUAUCAUAUUGUAAUAUUAGACGUCCUAAUUCUGUUUAAUUUUGACUAUAUCGUGUGCUAUCAAAUUCUUCAAAGCCUUAAGAACAAAAUGGUAACCAGAUAAUUUAAACAAUUGUAUAUUUAAUAAGGAUCGUGCAAUUAUUUUAUAUUAUAUCAUAUUGUAAUAUUAGGCGUCCUAAUUCUGUCUAAUUUCGAUUAUAUCGUGUGCUAUCCAAUUCUUCAAAGUCUUAAGAACAAAGUGGCAAGAAGAUAAUUUAAACAAUUCUAUAGUUGAUAAGGAUCGUGCAAUUAUUUUAUAUUAUAUCAUAUUGUAAUAUUGGGCGUCCUAAUUCUGUCUAAUUUCGAUUAUAUCGUGUCUUAUUAAAUCCUUCAAAGUCUUAAAAACAAAGUGGCAAGAAGAUAAUUUAAACAAUCCUGUAGUUGAUAAGGAUCGUGCAAUUAUUUUAUAUUAUAUCAUAUUGUAAUAUUGGGCGUCCUAAUUCUGUCUAAUUUCGAUUAUAUCGUGUGCUAUCAAAUUCUUUAAGCCCUAAGAACAAAGUGGCAAGAAUAUAAUUUAAACAACCCUAACGAUUGUGCAAUUAUUUUAUAUUAUAUCAUAUUGUAAUAUUAGACGUCCUAAUUCUGUCUAAUUUCGAUUAUAUCGUGUGCUAUCAAAUUUUUCAAAGUCUUGAAAACAAAAUGACAAGAAGAUAAUUUAAACAAUCCUAUAGUUGAUAAGGAUCGUGCAAUUAUUUUAUAUUAUAUCAUAUUGUAAUAUUAGGCGUCCUAAUUCUGUCUAAUUUCGAUUAUAUCGUGUGCUAUCAAAUUCUUCAAAGUCUUAAGAACAAAGUGGCAAGAAGAUAAUUUAAACAAUCCUAUAGUUGAUAAGGAUCGUGCAAUUACUUUAUAUUGUAUCAUAUUGUAAUAUUAGGCGUCCUAAUUCUGUCUAAUUUCGAUUAUAUCGUGUCUUAUUAAAUCCUUCAAAGUCUUAAGAACAAAGUGGCAAGAAGAUAAUUUAAACAAUCCUAUAGUUGAUAAGGAUCGUGCAAUUAUUUUAUAUUAUAUCAUAUUGUAAUAUUAGGCGUCCUAAUUCUGUCUAAUUUUAACUAUAUCGUGUGCUAUCAAAUUCUUCAAAGUCUUAAGAACAAAGUGGCAAGAAGAUAAUUUAAACAAUCCUGUAGUUGAUAAGGAUCGUGCAAUUAUUUUAUAUUGUAUCAUAUUGUAAUAUUAGGCGUCCUAAUUCUGUCUAAUUUCGAUUAUAUCGUGUGCUAUCAAAUUCUUCAAAGCCUUAAGAACAAAGUGACAAGAAUAUAAUUUACACAUUCCUAACGAUUGUGCAAUUAUUUUAUAUUAUAUCAUAUUGUAAUAUUAGGCGUCCUAAUUCUAUCUAAUUUCGAUUAUAUCGUGUGCUAUCAAAUUUUUCAAAGUCUUGAAAACAAAAUGACAAGAAGAUAAUUUAAACAAUCCUGUAGUUGAUAAGGAUCGUGCAAUUAUUUUGUAUUAUAUCAUAUUGUAAUAUUAGGCGUCCUAAUUCAAUCUAAUUUCGAUUAUAUCGUACGGGAAGAUGUCUAGAAUUGCGAAAGCGAAUCGACGAUUUAAAAAGGCGAGGAGAUGUUUGUCAGAAAGUCGGUUACCGUC